ensembl:lncRNA novel transcript
ACAGUGGUUAUACAAGUGAGUCCUGUUCAGCGUGGGAGGAAAUAACACAAGAGGCAAAGAUCACUCGGGACCACCUUGUAUAUUGGCUACCACAGAACCCAACACAAGCAGUAAGUUAAAAUCAUGAAGCUCCUGACGUCAGAGGACAUGGCUCUGCCAUUUGUUAGGUAGGGAUCCUGUUAAAGGCUCAGCUUCCUCAUCUGGAAAUGGAAAUAUAGGCCUUGCCUGGUUUGCUGUAAUGGGUCGUGAUGAGGACCAAACUACAAAGAGUGGUACAGAUGUUAAUUACAAUGAUUUUUCCUAUGCCACCCAUGGAAACAAAAAUAGCAAGAUAGAGAAGGCUAAAUCCCAGUUUUUUUUGACUGCUAUUCAGCAAAGCCUAGGAGACUUUCAUGACACCUGGAGAGGCGGCCGUAGUGUAUGUGUAAGAGUACCGGUUCCAGAGUGGGGCUCCCCGAGCUCAGCCCCACCACUUACCAACAGCGGACCUUGGGCCAGAUGCUGAAGCCCUUUGUGCCUUGGUUUCCUGACCUAUUACUGUGGAAAUGAUGACAGUACCCUCCUCAUGGCAUCGUGAGAAUUAAAUUAGCUAAUUCAGGUGAAGCAUUUAGAAGAGGACCUCCUGACACUUAAUAACUGCUUGAUAUAAAUAAUAGCUUCUGCUACAGAGUGGCCAUGAAGUCUGGACAUGUAGAUAUUAUAUUAUCAUGCAUCAUAAGUUCAGUUCUAUGUCAACAUUCCAAGAAAAUCCAGACUGAGCCUCCUCCUCACCAGUGCUCCUGUCUAGUCCUGGAGGCAGGGGACCUGCUCUGGAAUCUCAGCUCAUGCAGCAAGUACCCGGAUGACUUUAGGCAAAUCAUGUCACCUCGCUAGAUCUCCCUCUCUUCCUCUGGUACAUGGGGCAUCCAUACCUGCCUCACCAGGUGCAGAGUCAAUGUGACUUGAGGGCGAGAAUGAGUUCACAUCUCCUGGCUGCUCCUCUAGCUCCCCUAAUGGUACACAGCCAAUGGUCACAGGCCUCAUUUCACAGAAGGAAGCACAGAUGGGCUGUGACAUUCCAAGGAAACAGCUUAAAUGACGGGAAGAAAUGGAAAUGGGAAUAGUUAAUUUCCCAACCCAGACCUCUAGGUCAGCCCAGGGACCCCAGGGACUGGGGAAGUUUUAAAAAAUGCCUCUUCUUGUUCCUCAAAGCCUAACAUGGUUUAAUUUUGCAAAUACACCUAGGGCCUGGGUCUGAAGAGUAACACAAGCAAUAGCUCUGCCUAAAACCUAUCUUGGAUUUUGUACAAGAAAGUUGUGAAGAAGUAAGAGUGACUGGUGUUAAAUGAUCAUCUCAUAGGAAUUACUACAGAAUUUGACCAUCAGCCUGGGCUCCUUUUUGUGCUUCCUGGGACCAUCUAAAUUAGUAGUUACAACGUUAAGUUACAAUGCUAAAUUGGAAAAAUAAAAGGAGUUUUCAG